rnacentral:rRNA from 1 species
CUACGGGAGGCAGCAGUGGGGAAUCUUGCACAAUGGAGGAAACUCUGAUGCAGCGAUGCCGCGUGAGUGAAGAAGGCCUUUGGGUUGUAAAGCUCUUUCGUCGGGGAAGAAAAUGACUGUACCCGAAUAAGAAGGUCCGGCUAACUUCGUGCCAGCAGCCGCGGUAAUACGAAGGGACCUAGCGUAGUUCGGAAUUACUGGGCUUAAAGAGUUCGUAGGUGGUUAAAAAAGUUAGUGGUGAAAUCCCAGAGCUUAACUCUGGAACUGCCAUUAAAACUUUUCAGCUAGAGUAUGAUAGAGGAAAGCAGAAUUUCUAGUGUAGAGGUGAAAUUCGUAGAUAUUAGAAAGAAUACCAAUUGCGAAGGCAGCUUUCUGGAUCAUUACUGACACUGAGGAACGAAAGCAUGGGUAGCGAAGAGGAUUAGAUACCCUCGUAGUCCAUGCCGUAAACGAUGUGUGUUAGACGUUGGAAAUUUAUUUUCAGUGUCGCAGCGAAAGCGAUAAACACACCGCCUGGGGAGUACGACCGCAAGGUUAAAACUCAAAG